UUUACGAGGUCAGGACACUGUGAGGAUUGACAGAUUGAAAGCUCUUUCUUGAUUCAGUGGGUGGUGGUGCAUGGCCGUUCUUAGUUGGUGGAGUGAUUUGUCUGGUUAAUUCCGUUAACGAACGAGACCUUAACCUGCUAAAUAGUCACGCGAACCGGUCCGCAAGGGCUCAAAGUUCGCGGCUCGACUUCUUAGAGGGACUAUUCGCACCCGCCAGCGAAUGGAAGUUUGAGGCAAUAACAGGUCUGUGAUGCCCUUAGAUGUUCUCGGCCCGCACGCGCGUUACACUGACGGAGUCAACGAGCGUUUUUCCUUGCCCGAUAGGGUUGGGUAACCUCCUGAAACUCCGUCGUGAUGGGGAUAGAUCAUUGCAAUUAUUGAUCUUGAACGAGGAAUUCCCUAGUAGGCGCGAGUCAUCAACUCGCGCCGAUUACUCCCUGUUCUUUGUACACGCCCCCU
rnacentral:rRNA from 1 species